CUACGGGAGGCUCCAGUGGGGAAUAUUGGACAAUGGGGGAAACCCUGAUCCAGCAAUGCCGCGUGUGUGAAGAAGGCCUGCGGGUUGUAAAGCACUUUCGGUUGGGAGGACUGCUUCUAGCACUAAUAUUGUUGGAAGUUGACGUUACCUUCAGAAGAAGCACCGGCUAACCCCGUGCCAGCAGCCGCGGGUAAUACGGAGGGUGCAAGCGUUAAUCGGAAUUACUGGGCGUAAAGCGCGCGUAGGCGGCUAGAUCAGUCGGGUGUGAAAGCCCCGGGCUUAACCUGGGAACUGUAUCCGAUACUGUCUAGCUUGAGUACAGGAGAGGAGAGUGGAAUUCCACAUGUAGCGGUGAAAUGCGUAGAUAUGUGGAGGAACACCAAUGGCGAAGGCAGCUCUCUGGCCUGAUACUGACGCUGAGGUGCGAAAGCGUGGGGAGCAAACAGGAUUAGAUACCCGCGUAGUC
rnacentral:rRNA from 1 species